rnacentral:rRNA from 1 species
UGGGGAAUAUUGGACAAUGGGGGUAACCCUGAUCCAGCCAUGCCGCGUGAGUGAUGAAGGCCCUAGGGUUGUAAAGCUCUUUCGCCGGUGAAGAUAAUGACGGUAACCGGUAAAGAAGCCCCGGCUAACUUCGUGCCAGCAGCCGCGGUAAUACGAAGGGGGCUAGCGUUGUUCGGAAUUACUGGGCGUAAAGCGCGCGUAGGCGGGCUAUUAAGUCAGGGGUGAAAUCCCGAGGCUCAACCUCGGAAUUGCCUUUGAUACUGGUAGACUAGAGUCCGUUAGAGGUGAGUGGAACUCCGAGUGUAGAGGUGAAAUUCGUAGAUAUUCGGAAGAACACCAGUGGCGAAGGCGGCUCACUGGACAAGUAUUGACGCUGAGGUGCGAAAGCGUGGGGAGCAAACAGGAUUAGAUACCCCCGUAGUCC